GGAAUUCUCAAAGACACCGAACAAGGAUAGAAGUACUGCGAUCGGUACAUACAGUUGAAAGAUCCAGUGGAAAAGAAAUAUAUGAAAUAUUUUUAUAAGUUUAAAAUUGAAGAAAGAUUUAUACUCAUAGGAAAUGAGGUACUAAUGACCAUCUGUACGCAUUAAACGCAUACGACGCUAGUAACCACACAGCUAGCCACUCAUCCACGAUUCAUCGUGACUCACUGAGAGCAGAGUGAUAUGCAUUGGAUAUGAACUUUUCAAAUUCCUGUCACGCAAUGUCAAAGAUACACCGAGAGGAAUGCGUCAAUUUUAUCUUUCCAUCUCCACGAAUGGAGAUACACUUUGAAAACAUCGAUUCUUUGUAAAAUCUCGUGGAGUAUCCACUCGAUGGAAGAUAGAGUUUUUUUGUUCUCGAGAACAAUCGAAGAAGAGAAAUUUUCUGACGACAAAAAAAAAUAGUACAACAAUUUGAUACGAUAUCUGGGAUGUAGGAGAACUUUUGACGAAGGAACUUUCUAAAAUACGAAGAAGUCUAACCUAAUUCUCUUAAAAUCAACCAUUUCUUCGAAUACUUUCUAAGAAACAUGAAAAUCUCGAACCUAUUUUAUUUACAAAAGACUGUAUUUUUUAAAUAUUCUGAAUUUUGAAAUGAUUGAAAUUCAACAAUUUAAUUAAGCGACGAUAAAAUGGGAAACGGCCACGAAUACAGCUGGAUGGGGAUAUACGCACGUUCGAAUAUAAACGAUCCCCGUAACGUUAAACGCGUGAGAGAGUUUCCCUUCGAGCAAACAAGAUCGUCCACCGAUAUUUUGACCCGGGCUCGAUCCUCGGUGCCUAAUGUUAAUUGCGUUUGUUUUCUGCUCGAGCAUCGAGCAAAAUAAUCGGUGGAACGAUAUAAUCAUACGUAGAGUUGAAACGAAGGGCGGUGAACCGUGGAAAUGGCUCGUCCGGUAGCUCGUCGUCAGGAUGCCCUUUCUGCCUGACCACGAUAAUCGUGGAUUUCCGUCCGCUUAUUAUCUUAUGCGCGUCACAAUACGUUUUAGAUUGCGUUCCGGUGACGGCUAAUUAGAAAUUUACAGCCAAUUCUCUGUACAACCGCGAUCCUCCUUUGCCACGCUCCAACCGACUCCGACUUUCCACCUCUCUCUCUCUCUUUUUCUUUUCAGUAAUGAAACCCUUCGAGUCAUUUUGAAUAUAUAUCUUGAAAAUUCGAAUCAUUUCGAAAAAUGUAAUUUGGAAAAAUGAAAUCGUCUCUAAUCGACUUCCAAGUUAUUAAACUGUGUGGAUUUUUAUGCUUACAUCUUUAUGAUUAAAGGGAUUAUCACUUUGAAUAUACUUUUAUGUUAUGUGUUUCACGAAAGAAAAAUGCUGUGCAAUAGUCUAACAUGUUACGUAAAAAUGGAAAAGUAA